CAACAAAGGGUACUUCAGUGGGGCACACACUGCAGCCCAGUAUUGAUUAGCAGAAGGCAAUGAGGUACUGAUGGGCAUUGCAGUGUGAAUGAGUACCCGGAAAGACACGAUGGGAGAAGUCCGCAGAAUACCACAGGCUGUGUGGCUCCAUGAAAUAUCACCAGUCUUACAGCCCUGGUCACUCACUGUUCCCUGUGCAAAGUGGCCAAGAAGCAGAUGUUCCUUUGGUCCCCCCCCCAAGAUCCUAUCUGAGCCCAAAUCUCUGUGAGCUGACACAGCA